UUAAUGAAUCAGUGGAAUGAUGGAACCACAUCUUUAUUAACUUUUAUCUGUACAGAAAAAAACAUCAUCAGUCACCAGAUCAUGCAAAGCAGUAUUGUGUUACGAAUAAAAACACAAUACAAACAAACAAUAUAUAUUUUACCAGAAAUAUGGAGCCUCAAAAAUAUAAAUCAAUCAAUCAAUAUAUUACAAAAAAUAAACUCCUGAGAUGACACUUACAUACAAAUACAAUAUGUUUUAAAUGACUUGCAACGUAGUACUGGAAAUGGAUCAUCAGACAGGUUGAUUAGCGGUUCUUAAGUUUUGAGAUUUUUUUUCUUUUUUUGUACAUAUGAUCUUGAAAUGCAGCAACUGAGCUGAAAAUGACCAGUCAUCGUACUGGGUUCAUUUCAGGUUGCCUUAAAUUCAGUCCCACAACACAAAAAGGAUUAAUCACAGAAACCAACAGUUAAACAUGGCAUAUUCAUCUGAAAACCAGUGUAAUAUCUGCGGUAAAAAGCAACCUGGAAAGUUGUGAUUGAAAGGAAUCUUAAAGGGAAUGUAAGAGUAAGGCAACAGAUACACAUAUCCUGUAUGUAUUUAUAUUUAUAAUAGGGUGACAGCACUCAACAGUUAAGUUGAGAUGUUAUUGCACUACUGUCUCAAUGUCUUCAUGAGAAUAAUCAACAAAUUACAAUACUGUUGAUAGAUCUACACAGAGGUGAAACAAGAAAUCACCAGUCACAGCUACAGAUGUGUCUUUCUACUCUUUGAAAUGCAUUCAGUUACUUAUCAGGAUUGAUUGUUCAGUCACCAAUAUGCUCGAACCAUUGGCAAUAAAUCCUGCCUGCAAUACUUAACUUAUCAAACACUUGAAGUGAAGGAAUGAAUCUCAAUUUGUAAUCGACCCAGGUCUGCACAGCUAACAAACGUAGCUGAAUUGAAAACAUGUUCACAAUAAAGCUACAACAUCUAGAGAGAAAGA